rnacentral:rRNA from 1 species
UGGAAGCGAAAAUGUAGGCAUGAGUAACGAUAAGAAGGGUGAAAAACCCUUCCACCGUAAACCCAAGGGUUCCUGAUCAACGCUAAUCGGAUCAGGGUUAGUCGAGACCUAAGGUGUACCCGGUGAGGCCGGGGAAGCCGAUGGCAAAGCGGUUAAAUAUUCCGCUACCGAAGCCAGCGUAUGGCUAAGGCGUGACGCAGAAGUGACACUCCCGCGUGCUGACGAAUGCACGUUAAAGGGCGUAGGCCGGGGGGCAGGCAAAUCCGCCUCCCGUUAAGGCUGAACCCCGACAGUACUCGGAUUCUCACGAUGAAGAGAUAGUGGAGGUAAUCAUGCUGCCAAGAAAAGCGUCGUAGUUUGCUGGUUCUCGCUCGUACCCCAAACCGACACAGGUGGGUGAGGAGAGUAUCCUCAGGUGCUCGAGUAAUUCAUGGCUAAGGAACUAGGCAAAUUCGAUCCGUAACUUCGGGAGAAGGAUCCCCUGACUAUGUCAGGGCGCAGUGAAAAGGCCCAAGCGACUGUUUACCAAAAACACAUGUCUCUGCUAAGCCGCAAGGCGAUGUAUAGGGACUGACACCUGCCCGGUGCUGGAAGGUUAAAGAAGGGGGUUAGCUUCGGCGAAGCCCUUGACUGAAGCCCCAGUAAACGGCGGCCGUAACUAUAACGGUCCUAAGGUAGCGAAAUUCCUUGUCGGGUAAGUUCCGACCUGCACGAAUGGUGUAACGACUUGGGCACUGUCUCGGCCAUGAGCUCGGUGAAAUUGUGGUAUCGGUGAUGACGCCGAUUACCCGCAGCGGGACGAAAAGACCCCGUGAACCUUUACUACAACUUUACAUUGGCUUUAGCUGUCGCAUGUGUAGGAUAGGCGGGAGACUUUGAAGCGGCGUCGCCAGGCGUUGUGGAGUCACCCUUGAAAUACCGCCCUUGCCACAGGUGAAGUCUAACCCUUCCGAGGGAACAGUGUAUGGUGGGUAGUUUGACUGGGGCGGUCGCCUCCUAAAGAGUAACGGAGGCUCCCAAAGGUACCCUCAGCACGGUUGGCAAUCGUGCGUAGAGUGUAAAAGCAUAAGGGUGCUUGACUGCGAGACAUACAGGUCGAGCAGGCACGAAAGUGGGGUUUAGUGAUCCGGUGGCACCGCAUGGAAGGGCCAUCGCUCAAAGGAUAAAAGGUACUCCGGAGAUCGGAAGAGCACACGUCUGAACUCCAGUCACAAU